CCUACGGGUGGCAGCAGUGGGGAAUAUUGGACAAUGGGCGAAAGCCUGAUCCAGCCAUGCCGCGUGUGUGAAGAAGGCCUUCGGGUUGUAAAGCACUUUCAGUGGGGAAGAAAGCCUUGGGGCUAAUACCCUCGAGGAAGGACAUCACCCACAGAAGAAGCACCGGCUAACUCCGUGCCAGCAGCCGCGGUAAUACGGAGGGUGCGAGCGUUAAUCGGAAUUACUGGGCGUAAAGCGCGCGUAGGCGGUCUGAUAAGCCGGUUGUGAAAGCCCCGGGCUCAACCUGGGAACGGCAUCCGGAACUGUCAGGCUAGAGUGCAGGAGAGGAUGGUAGAAUUCCCGGUGUAGCGGUGAAAUGCGUAGAGAUCGGGAGGAAUACCAGUGGCGAAGGCGGCCUUCUGGACAGACACUGACGCUGAGGUGCGAAAGCGUGGGUAGCAAACAGGAUUAGAUACCCUGGUAGUC
rnacentral:rRNA from 1 species